rnacentral:lncRNA from 12 species
AUGCUGGGAGGGAAUCUGGGGGAACUGGGACGGACUGUGGGGGUAAACAGAGACACACUGGGACAUACUGGGAGUGAUAAUGGGGGAUACUGGGACAAACUGGGGACACUGGGAUGGGAGGGGCAGCAAGGACAAAUGGCAUCACCCUGCAAGCCCUGCCAGCUGCUCAGGGAGGGCCGAGGCAGCAGCAAAGUGCAGCCCCUGCAAGGAAAGUUCCUUCUGUGGGGCUGCAGAGGCGCUGCCCAGCCCAGGGCACAAAGGCCUGGGUGCCUCUGGCCCUGCCAGCCCUGCCCAGCCCUUGGCCAUCUCUACUGCAGCCUGCGCCCCUGUGCGUGCUGCUCCUCUGCCCUGGCCGCCUGCACACGCCCAUCUCGCUGUCCCCCCAGCAUUUCUCAGCCCAGCAUUGCUGUGCCCUUCCUGAGCUCCCUGCGCCCCGCACUGCCGGCUCCUGGCACACAGAGCCAUGGCACGGCCCAGCCUCACGCUGGGACACCUCGGCCACCAUCCCUUGUUCUUUCUAUUCUUUCAUUUUCGACAUUCUCGUUCCCUCGAUCUUUGUAUUCCUCCUUAUGUUUCUUUCUCAUUCCCUUGUUCUUCCUUUUCUUUCAUUUUCUUUUUCCUUGUUCCCUCGUUCUUUCUAUUCUUUCAUUUUCUUUUUCCUCGUUCCCUCGUUCUUUCUAUUCUUUCUUUUUGUGUUUUCUCGUUCCCUCGUCCUUCUAUGCUUUCAUUUUCUUUCUCGUUCUCUCAUCCUUUCUAUUAUUUCUAUUUGUUUUUUAUCGGUCCCUCGUUAUUUCUGUUCUUUCAUUUUUGACUUUCUCGUUCACUCAUUCUUUCUAUUCCUCCUUUUGUUUGUUUCUCAUUCUCUCGUUCUUUCUAUUCUUUCUUUUUAUGUUUUCUCGUUCCCUCGUUCCUUCUAUUCCUCCUUUUUCAGUUUUCUCGUUCCCUCAUUCUUCCUAUUGCUUCAUUUUCUAUUUUCAUUCCCUCAUUCUUUUUAUUCUUUCUUUUUCUAUUCUUUCCCUCAUUCUUUCUAGUCCUUGUUUUGUCUGUUCGUCGUUCCCUCGUUCUUUCUAUUCUUUCUUUUUAUGUUUUCUUGUUCCUCGUUCUUUCUAUUCCUCCUUGUUCUAUUUUCUCAUUCCCUUGUCCUUUCUAUUGCUCCUUUUUAUGUUUUCUCGUUCCCUUUUUCUUUCCAUUCUUUCAUUUUCUAUAUUCUCUUUUCCUCGUGCUUUAUAUUCUUUCCUUUUUAUGUUUUCUCGAUCCCUCUUUCUUUCUAUUCUUUUCAUUUUUCUAUUGUCUUAUGUAUUCUUUCCUUUUAUGUUUUCUUAUUCCCUCGUUCUUUUUUCUUUCAUUCUUUAUUUAUUCGUUUCGUCGUUCUUUCUAUUCUUUCAUUUUCUUAUUUCUUCUUCCGUCGUUCUUUCUAUUGUUUAUUUUGUUUUCUUGAUCCCUUGUUCUUUCUAUUAUUUCAAUUUCAAUUUUCUAUUUCUGUCGGUCUUUCUAUUCCUCCUUUUUCUAUUUUCUAGUUCCCUCGUUCUUUCUAUUCCUCUUUUUAAUGUUUUCUCAUUCCCUCAUUGUUUCUAUUCCUCAUUAUUUUGUUUUCUCGUUCCCUUGUUCUUUCUAUUCUUUCAUUUUCCACUUUUGCGUUCCCUCGUUCUUAAUAUUCCUCCUUUUUUUGUUUUCUCGUUCCCUUGUUCUUUCUAUUCUUUCAUUUUCCACUUUUGCGUUCCCUCGUUCUUAAUAUUCCUCCUUUUUUUGUUUUCUCGUUCCCUUGUUCUUUCUAUUCUUUCAUUUUCCACUUUUGCGUUCCCUCGUUCUUAAUAUUCCUCCUUUUUUUGUUUUCUCGUUCCCUUGUUCUUUCUAUUCUUUCAUUUUCCACUUUUGCGUUCCCUCGUUCUUAAUAUUCCUCCUUUUUUUGUUUUCUCGUUCCCUUGUUCUUUCUCUUACUUAUUUUUUUAUAUUCUCGUCCCCUCGUUUGUUCUUUCCUUUCAUUUUCUAUUUUCUCGUUCCCUCGUUCUUUCUAUUCCUCAUUUUUAUGUUUUCUCAUUCCCUCAUUCUUUCUAUUCUUUCAUUUUCCAUUUUCUCAUUCCCUUGUUCAUUUUUUUCCUCCUUUUUAUUUUUUGUCUUUCUCUUGCUCUUUCUAUUCCUCUUUUUUAUGUUUCUCGCUCCCUCGUUCUUUCUCUUCUUUCAUUUGUUUUCUCGUUCCCUUGUUCUUUCUAUUGUGUCAUUUUCUAUUUUCUCAUUCUGUCGUUCUUUCUAUUCCUCCUUUUUAUGUUUUCUCGUUCCCUCGUUCUUUCUGCUCAUCUUUUUAAUGUUUUCUCGUUCCCUCAUUCUUUUUAUUUCUCUUUUAAUGUUUUCUCGUUCCCUCGUUCUUUCUAUUCCUCUUUAUUUUGUUUUCUCACUCCCUUGUUCUUUCUAUUCCUCCUUUUUAUGUUUUCUCGUUCCCUCGUUCUUUCUAUUCUUUCAUUUUCCAUUUUCUCUUUCCAUCUUUCUUUCCAUUCCUCCUUCUUCUUUUUUUCUCAUUCUGUUUUCCCUAUUCCUCCUUUUUAUAUUUUCUCGUUCCCUCGUUCUUUCUAUCCCUUUUUUUUGCCUUCUCAUUCCCUUGUUCUUUCUAUUCCUCACUUUUAUGUUUUCUCAUUCCCUCAUUCUUCCUAUUGUUUCAUUUUCUAUUUUCAUUCCCUCAUUCUUUUUAUUCUUUCUUUUUCUAUUCUUUCCCUCAUUCCUUCUAGUCCUUGUUUUGUCUGUUCGUCGUUCCCUCAUUUUUUCUAUUCUUCCUUUUUAUGUUUUCUCAUUCCCUCUUCCCUUCUAUUCCUCUUUUUUAUGUUUUCUUGUUCCCUUGUUCUUUCUAUUACUCCUAUUUAUGUAUUCUCAUUCCCUCAUUCUUUCUAUUCUUCCUUUUUCUAUUUUCUCUUUCAUUCAUUCUUUGUAUUCUUCCUUUUUAUGUUUUCUCGGUCUUAUACACCCUCUCACAGCUGUGAAAACUUUUUUUUCAAUUAUUUUGUUCAUUUAUUCAAACUUGAGUAUAAAUAUAUUGAACACCUUAGCAUUUCUCCUAUUGAUGUAAUAGUUUCGACAGUGUGUGGAUUCAAACACACAGUGCUG